rnacentral:rRNA from 1 species
UACGUAGGUGACUAGCGUUGUCCGGAUUUACUGGGCGUAAAGAGCGCGCAGGCGGUCGUUCAAGUCGAGUGUGAAAGCCCCCGGCUCAACUGGGGAGGGUCAUUCGAUACUGAUCGACUCGAAGGCAGGAGAGGGAAGCGGAAUUCCCGGUGUAGUGGUGAAAUGCGUAGAUAUCGGGAGGACCACCAGUGGCGAAGGCGGCUUGCCAGAACGCGCUCGACGGUGAGGGAUGAAAGCUGGGGGAGCAAACCGG